GAGGAUUUGGUCACGAUCAAUAGACUACUGAGUGAAGAAAGAAAAAAACUGCUAAUACAAAAACGAUGAAACGGAAAUCGAGCGACUGCGGAAUGGAAUUCAAGAGAAGAAUCUGAUUGUCAAAAAGGGGAGGAGUUUAACACUCGAGUCUGAGGUGGAGGAGACCAACAGCAAGAACAAGGAAGAAGCCGGUCGUGACCUGAAGCAAAAGGCUCUACUUCCUUACAUGUGGAAUAAGGACUAAACUGAGCAUGUGUGAAGUGAAUCAGGUCAUUAUUAAUCUGACUGUCAACAAGUGAGGACCUCACCCAUCUCUUUUUAAAUCCUCCUUUGCUUUUUACUAUGGUGAUUUGUAACUUGUUCCUGAUUGGAGAAAUUGGAAGUGUUACAACCGGCCGGUGUUACAACCAUCCUCGGUCUCCCCUACCUGACUGAGUGUGAUGACUGUGCUAGGUAAGAGUCGGAGUGAAGGUUGAAGUCGUGC
ensembl:lncRNA